CUGGGUUUGACAUCCCGCGAAUCCCUAUGAAAUUAGGGAGUGCCCUUCGGGGAACGCGGAGACAGGUGCUGCAUGGCUGUCGUCAGCUCGUGCCGUGAGGUGUUGGGUUAAGUCCCGCAACGAGCGCAACCCUUGUUGCCAGUUGCUACCAGGUAAUGCUGGGCACUCUGGCGAGACUGCCCGGGUCAACCGGGAGGAAGGUGGGGACGACGUCAAGUCAUCAUGGCCCUUACAUCCAGGGCUACACACGUACUACAAUGGCAGGUACAAAGGGUUGCCAAGCCGCGAGGCCGCGCUAAUCCUAGAAAGCCUGUCUCAGUCCGGAUUGCAGUCUGCAACUCGACUGCAUGAAGCUGGAAUCGCUAGUAAUCCCGGAUCAGCAUGCCGGGGUGAAUACGUUCCC
rnacentral:rRNA from 1 species